AACGCAUAUUGCGCCCGCCGGUACUCCGACGGGCAUGCCUGUUCGAGCGUCAGUGAAAAAAUAUCAAGCGUCACUUGGUGUUGGGCCUCGUUGAAUCCGACGGGCCUCGAACCUCCGGCGACUGCGAGACGCGUACCCCAGAGCGCUGUCGGAGAGAUCUUGUAGCGUUCGUUUGCGGGUCGCGGCCUGACGUCCGCCCGGGAGGGCUCGCCCUCCUCGAAACAUCACCGUUUGACCUCGGAUCAGGUAGGGAUACCCGCUGAACUUAA
rnacentral:misc_RNA from 1 species